rnacentral:rRNA from 1 species
GACGAACCGUGCGAACGUUGUUCGGAUUCACUGGGCUUAAAGGGCGCGUAGGCGGGCGGGCAAGUCCGGGGUGAAAGCGUGCGGCUCAACCGCACAAGGCCUUGGAUACUGCCGGCCUCGAGGAGGUAGGGCGUGCGGAACUUCCGGUGGAGCGGUGAAAUGCGUAGAUAUCGGAAGGAACACCGGUGGCGAAGGCGGCCAUCUGGGACAACACUGACGCUGAGGCA